rnacentral:tRNA from 1 species
AGGGGCUUAGGAUAACAUAAGUCCAAAGGCCUUCAAAGCCCUAAGCGAGAGUGAAAAUCUCCCAGCCCCUG